AUCGGGAUAACCACCUGGAAACAGAUGCUAAUACCGGAUAACAACAGAUGAUGCCUAUCAACUGUUUAAAAGAUGGUUCUGCUAUCACUCUUGGAUGGACCUGCGGUGCAUUAGCUAGUUGGUAGGGUAACGGCCUACCAAGGCGAUGAUGCAUAGCCGAGUUGAGAGACUGAUCGGCCACAUUGGGACUGAGACACGGCCCAAACUCCUACGGGAGGCAGCAGGA
rnacentral:rRNA from 1 species